UCUGAACUGUCGCCGGAGGCGGACGGUUUCUAUAUGUUACUUUAUCGCGCGUUCCCGAAAACACACAGGGACUGUGCGCUUUUUUUGUGGUCAACAUUUUGUAAGUAACAGUCCUCAAAACAACAAAGCAACUGAUUAAAAGACAUGAUCAUAUAUAUUAUCUUGCAAUAAAUUAUUUCGCAGUUGAAUCUCAUAAACCGUGAUGGAAAUUGAACAAUCCUCUGAAGUUUGUAUACCUGUUGCCUUCAUCGUAUAUAUCUUGAAAUGCUGAUCAAGAAAAUGUAUAUGAUCAUGUAUCUUUAACAAACGGUUGCAGAGAUAUCAAGGUUUAAAGGUUUUUUGAUGACGUCAUCAAACCGUCAAUUCCGAAACGGAUUCGGGGACCCAGAUUUGGAAAACUUCCCCAAAUUGGUCCCAGGUUGUCCCUAGUUACCCACGCGGUGAAAAAACAUUGACGUCACCACCUCGUUUCCAAGUUAUUUGGCCUCAAAGUUUUAAGUGCAUUGUAAUGGCUUCACUAAUCUUAAUUAACUUUCCUUUGACGUCAAUACUAUUUUAUCGGUAAAGUUUGGUAAAUUACAGAACAAUUUUAUAGGCAAUGUUUUAUAGAAUUUGUUAAAGAAAGUUUUGAAGAAUGUAAUCCGCUUUGCAAAAGUGACAGACAGACACACGGAACUGGCGUAUUAUUAUAUAGACUAGUCGAUAAGGCCCGUGGAAAAAUCCACUUAGGCAGGAUAACAGAGAAAAACAACCGUCAUUAAAAUUUUGAUGACGUCAGCAGAGACAUGUCAGAACACAAAAUGUUUUUUUUUCAGAAAUGUGCAUGCCUGUUGCUUUCAUCGUAUAGAUCUUGAAACGCUGAGCAAGAAAAUGUAUAGGAUCAUGCACUUUUAACAAAUGGUUGCAGAGAUAUUAGGGUUUAAAGGUUUAUUAAUGACGUCAUCAACCCGUCCAUUCCGAAACGAAUUCGGGGAUCCGGGUUUAGGAAAAUUACCCAAAUUGAUCCUAGGUGGUCCCUAGUUAUCCACGCGGUGAAAAAACAUUGACGUCACCACCUCGUUUCCAAAGUUAUUUGGCCUCAAAGUUUUAAGUGCAUUGUAAUGGCUUCACUAAUCUUAAUUAACUUUCCUUUGACGUCAAUACUAUUUUAUCGUUGAAGUUUGGUAAAUUACAGAACAGUUUUAUAGGCGAUGUUUUAUAGAAUUUGUUAAAGAAAAUUUUGAAGAAUGUAAUCCACUUUGCAAAAGUGACAGACAGACACACGGAAUUAGCGUAUUAUUAUAUAGAUUAUGAUGUAACAAGCUAGUUAGCUACCUACAAAAUCUUUCAAAGACUGGAACUUUUGCAGGAUAGUAGGAUGCAUUUUUAUGCUCAUAAGAGUAUAAUUAUUUUCACAUUUCCUGUAAAUUUUACAAGGGGACCGCGUGCAAUAUGACAAGUGGAAUAAUUUUUUUCAGAAUUUAAAGAGUGUGUGUUAAA